CGGGUACUAUGUUUGGAAUGAGUACAAUUUAAAAACCUUAACGAGGAACAAUUGGAGGGCAAGUCUGGUGCCAGCAGCCGCGGUAAUUCCAGCUCCAAUAGUGUAUAUUAAAGUUGCUGCGGUUAAAAAGCUCGUAGUUGGAUUUCGGAGUUGUUAUCUGAACCUUCUCGCCCUAAAAAGUGGGGGGGGCUAAGGUAGCAGUAGUUUUCAUCAUAGUCCAUCAGGAUACUCUCUUGAUGUGUACUGGGUGUUAACCUCCUUUUUUUCUGGUACUUGCUAUCCAGCAAUGGGUAGUUUUGUCCAGAUAGUUUACUUUGAAAAAAUUAGAGUGUUCAAAGCAGGCAUAAUUGGCAUCAUGAAUACAUUAGCAUGGGAUAAUAGAAUAUGACAUUGGUCUUAUUUUGUUGGUUUCUAAGGCCAAAGUAAUGAUUGAUAGGGAUAGUUGGGG
rnacentral:rRNA from 1 species